rnacentral:rRNA from 1 species
AGAGUUUGAUCCUGGCUCAGAAUGAACGUUGGCGGCGUGCCUAACACAUGCAAGUCGAGCGAGAAAGGUCUUCGGAUCGAGUACAGCGGCGGACGGGUGAGUAACGCGUGGGAAUCUGCCUUUCAGUGAAGAAUACUCUCGAGAAAUCGAGCUUAAUGCUGCAUACGUCUUGAAAAAGAGAAAGAUGGCCUCUUGCUGUC